CUUCAACGAGCCGAGCAGCAGCGGCCGUUCGCGGUCCUGGCCGUAGGUCGCGAGGAGCGCCUGCGCCUC
rnacentral:antisense_RNA from 1 species